rnacentral:rRNA from 2 species
AUUUUGGUCGCCAACGAGUGGCGGACGGGUGAGUAACACGUAGGUAACCUGCCCAGAAGCGGGGGACAACAUUUGGAAACAGAUGCUAAUACCGCAUAACAGCGUUGUUCGCAUGAACAACGCUUAAAAGAUGGCUUCUCGCUAUCACUUCUGGAUGGACCUGCGGUGCAUUAGCUUGUUGGUGGGGUAACGGCCUACCAAGGCGAUGAUGCAUAGCCGAGUUGAGAGACUGAUCGGCCACAAUGGGACUGAGACACGGCCCAUACUCCUACGGGAGGCAGCAGUAGGGAAUCUUCCACAAUGGGCGCAAGCCUGAUGGAGCAACACCGCGUGAGUGAAGAAGGGUUUCGGCUCGUAAAGCUCUGUUGUUAAAGAAGAACACGUAUGAGAGUAACUGUUCAUACGUUGACGGUAUUUAACCAGAAAGUCACGGCUAACUACGUGCCAGCAGCCGCGGUAAUACGUAGGUGGCAAGCGUUAUCCGGAUUUAUUGGGCGUAAAGAGAGUGCAGGCGGUUUUCUAAGUCUGAUGUGAAAGCCUUCGGCUUAACCGGAGAAGUGCAUCGGAAACUGGAUAACUUGAGUGCAGAAGAGGGUAGUGGAACUCCAUGUGUAGCGGUGGAAUGCGUAGAUAUAUGGAAGAACACCAGUGGCGAAGGCGGCUACCUGGUCUGCAACUGACGCUGAGACUCGAAAGCAUGGGUAGCGAACAGGAUUAGAUACCCUGGUAGUCCAUGCCGUAAACGAUGAGUGCUAGGUGUUGGAGGGUUUCCGCCCUUCAGUGCCGGAGCUAACGCAUUAAGCACUCCGCCUGGGGAGUACGACCGCAAGGUUGAAACUCAAAGGAAUUGACGGGGGCCCGCACAAGCGGUGGAGCAUGUGGUUUAAUUCGAAGCUACGCGAAGAACCUUACCAGGUCUUGACAUCUUGCGCCAACCCUAGAGAUAGGGCGUUUCCUUCGGGAACGCAAUGACAGGUGGUGCAUGGUCGUCGUCAGCUCGUGUCGUGAGAUGUUGGGUUAAGUCCCGCAACGAGCGCAACCCUUGUUACUAGUUGCCAGCAUUAAGUUGGGCACUCUAGUGAGACUGCCGGUGACAAACCGGAGGAAGGUGGGGACGACGUCAGAUCAUCAUGCCCCUUAUGACCUGGGCUACACACGUGCUACAAUGGACGGUACAACGAGUCGCGAACUCGCGAGGGCAAGCAAAUCUCUUAAAACCGUUCUCAGUUCGGACUGCAGGCUGCAACUCGCCUGCACGAAGUCGGAAUCGCUAGUAAUCGCGGAUCAGCAUGCCGCGGUGAAUACGUUCCCGGGCCUUGUACACACCGCCCGUCACACCAUG